UACGAAGGGGGCUAGCGUUGCUCGGAAUCACUGGGCGUAAAGGGCGCGUAGGCGGCCAUUCAAGUCGGGGGUGAAAGCCCAGGGCUCAACCCUGGAAUUGCCUUCGAUACUGUUUGGCUAGAGACCGGAAGAGGUAAGUGGAACUGCGAGUGUAGAGGUGAAAUUCGUAGAUAUUCGCAAGAACACCAGUGGCGAAGGCGGCUUACUGGUCCGGUACUGACGCUGAGGUGCGAAAGCGUGGGGAGCAAACAGG
rnacentral:rRNA from 1 species